rnacentral:rRNA from 1 species
ACGGGUGAGUAACACGUGGGCAACCUACCUUAUCGACUGGGAUAACUCCGGGAAACCGGGGCUAAUACCGGAUAACAUCUAGCACCUCCUGGUGCCGGAUUAAAAGAGGGCUUCUUGCUCUCACGAUGAGAUGGGCCCGCGGCGCAUUAGCUAGUUGGAGAGGUAAUGGCUCCCCAAGGCGACGAUGCGUAGCCGACCUGAGAGGGUGAUCGGCCACACUGGGACUGAGACACGGCCCAGACUCCUACGGGAGGCAGCAGUAGGGAAUCUUCCGCAAUGGACGAAAGUCUGACGGAGCAACGCCGCGUGAGUGAUGAAGGGUUUCGGCUCGUAAAGCUCUGUUAUGAGGGAAGAACACGUACCGUUCGAAUAGGGCGGUACCUUGACGGUACCUCAUCAGAAAGCCACGGCUAACUACGUGCCAGCAGCCGCGGUAAUACGUAGGUGGCAAGCGUUGUCCGGAAUUAUUGGGCGUAAAGCGCGCGCAGGCGGCCUUUUAAGUCUGAUGUGAAAUCUUGCGGCUCAACCGCAAGCGGCCAUUGGAAACUGGGAGGCUUGAGUACAGAAGAGGAGAGUGG